rnacentral:snRNA from 1 species
UGCUUGCUUCGGCAGCAAUAUACUAAAAUUGGAAUGAUACAGAUAAGAUUAGUGUGGCCCCUGCACAAGGAUGACACACCAAUUCGUGAAGUGUUUCAUAUUUUU